rnacentral:rRNA from 1 species
UACAGAGGUCUCAAGCGUUGUUCGGAUUCAUUGGGCGUAAAGGGUGCGUAGGUGGUUUGGUAAGUCGGAUGUGAAAUCCCCGGGCUCAACCUGGGAACUGCAUUCGAAACUGCCUGGCUAGAGUUUGAGAGAGGGAAGUGGAAUUCCACAUGUAGCGGUGAAAUGCGUAGAUAUGUGGAGGAACAUCAGUGGCGAAGGCGGCUUCCUGGCUUAAAACUGACACUGUGGCGCGAAAGCGUGGGUAGCAAACAGG